rnacentral:rRNA from 1 species
CCUACGGGAGGCAGCAGUGAGGAAUAUUGGUCAAUGGACGCAAGUCUGAACCAGCCAUGCAGCGUGCAGGAUGACGGCCCUAUGAGUUGUAAACUGCUUUUGUACGAGGGUAAACUCCGAUACGCGUAUCUUUCUGCACGUACCGCACGAAUAAAGACCGGCUAAUUCCGUGCCAGCAGCCGCGGUAAUACGGAGGAUUCAAGCGUUAUCCGGAUUUAUUGGGUUUAGAGGGAGCGUAGGCCGGCGGUUAAGUUAGAGGUGAAAUCCCGAGGCUUAAACUCGGAAUUGCCUCUGCUACUGGGCGGCUAGAGAGUGGUGGAGGUAGGCGGAAUGGAUGGUGUAGCGGUGAAAUGCUUAGAUAUCAUAAAGAACACCGAUUGCGAAGGCAGCUUACC